rnacentral:rRNA from 1 species
AGAGUUUGAUCCUGGCUCAGGAUGAACGCUGGCGGCGUGCCUAACACAUGCAAGUCGAACGGAGUUACUUUGGUGAAAUUUUCGGAUGGAUCUGAUUUAACUUAGUGGCGGACGGGUGAGUAAUGCGUGAGCAACCUGCCCUUCAGAGGGGGACAACAGUUGGAAACGACUGCUAAUACCGCAUAAUGUAUCCGGGAGGCAUCUUCUGGAUACCAAAGGAGAAAUCCGCUGAUGGAUGGGCUCACGUCUGAUUAGCUAGUUGGUGAGGUAACGGCUCACCAAGGCUGCGAUCAGUAGCCGGACUGAGAGGUUGAACGGCCACAUUGGGACUGAGAUACGGCCCAGACUCCUACGGGAGGCAGCAGUCGGGAAUAUUGCGCAAUGGAGGAAACUCUGACGCAGUGACGCCGCGUGCAGGAAGAAGGUUUUCGGAUUGUAAACUGCUUUAGACAGGGAAGAAAAAAGACAGUACCUGUAGAAUAAGCUCCGGCUAACUACGUGCCAGCAGCCGCGGUAAUACGUAGGGAGCGAGCGUUAUCCGGAUUUAUUGGGUGUAAAGGGUGCGUAGACGGGAAGUCAAGUUAGUUGUGAAAUCCCUCGGCUUAACUGAGGAACUGCAACUAAAACUGAUUUUCUUGAGUACUGGAGAGGAAAGUGGAAUUCCUAGUGUAGCGGUGAAAUGCGUAGAUAUUAGGAGGAACACCGGUGGCGAAGGCGACUUUCUGGACAGAAACUGACGUUGAGGCACGAAAGUGUGGGGAGCAAACAGGAUUAGAUACCCUGGUAGUCCACACCGUAAACGAUGGAUACUAGGUGUAGGAGAUAUUAAGUCUUCUGUGCCGUCGCAAACGCAAUAAGUAUCCCACCUGGGGAGUACGGCCGCAAGGUUGAAACUCAAAGGAAUUGACGGGGGCCCGCACAAGCAGCGGAGCAUGUGGUUUAAUUCGAAGCAACGCGAAGAACCUUACCAGGUCUUGACAUCCCGAUGACCGCUUCUUAAUCGAAGCUUUUCUUCGGAACAUCGGAGACAGGUGGUGCAUGGUUGUCGUCAGCUCGUGUCGUGAGAUGUUGGGUUAAGU